rnacentral:ncRNA from 1 species
CAAAGGUUUGGUCCUGGCUUUUCUGUCAGCUCUCGUUAAAUUUACACAUGCAAGUAUCCGCCCUCCUGUGAGAAUGCCCUACAGUUUUUUACCCAAAAACAAGGAGCUGGUAUCAGGCACAACCACCUUAGCCUACAACACCUUGCUUUGCCACACCCCUAAGGGAAAUCAGCAGUGAUAAACAUUAAGCCAUAAGUGAAAACUUGACUUAGUUAUAACAAAUAAGAGUCGGUAAAACUCGUGCCAGCCACCGCGGUUAUACGAGAGACUCAAGUUGACAGCCCUCGGCGUAAAGCGUGAUAAAGAAAAAACCCUGACUAAAGUGAAACACUCUCUAAAGCUGUUAUACGCUUAUAAGAGUAUGAAAUUCGCCUACUAAAGUGACUUUAAUUAUUCUGACUUCACGAAAGCUAUGAAACAAACUGGGAUUAGAUACCCCACUAUGCAUAGCUGUAAACUUCAAUAAAAUCUUACAUUUUAUUCGCCCGGGUACUACGAGCAUAAGCUUAAAACCCAAAGGACUUGGCGGUGCUUUAGACCCACCUAGAGGAGCCUGUUCUAGAACCGAUAACCCCCGUUAAACCUCACCCUUUCUUGUCAUUCCCGCCUAUAUACCGCCGUCGUCAGCUUACCCCGUGAGGGUUUAACAGUAGACAAAAUUGGCACAGCCUAAAACGCCAGGUCGAGGUGUAGCGUAUGAAAGGGGAAGAAAUGGGCUACAUUUCCUGCAUCAGGAAAUUACGAACAGUACAAUGAAACUUGUAUAUUAAGGAGGAUUUAGCAGUAAGAGGAAAUUAGAGCGUUCCUCUGAAACUGGCCCUGAAGCGCGCACACACCGCCCGUCACUCUCCCCAAACGCCAAACAACUGUUCUUAACCCACCAUUAUAAUCAAAGGGGAGGCAAGUCGUAACAUGGUAAGCGUACCGGAAGGUGCGCUUGGAAAAAU